CGUAACAAGGUCUCCGUAGGUGAACCUGCGGAGGGAUCAUUACACAAAUAUGAAGGCGGGCUGGAACCUCUCGGGGUUACAGCCUUGCUGAAUUAUUCACCCUUGUCUUUUGCGUACUUCUUGUUUCCUUGGUGGGUUCGCCCACCACUAGGACAAACAUAAACCUUUUGUAAUUGCAAUCAGCGUCAGUAACAAAUUAAUAAUUACAACUUUCAACAACGGAUCUCUUGGUUCUGGCAUCGAUGAAGAACGCAGCGAAAUGCGAUAAGUAGUGUGAAUUGCAGAAUUCAGUGAAUCAUCGAAUCUUUGAACGCACAUUGCGCCCUUUGGUAUUCCAAAGGGCAUGCCUGUUCGAGCGUCAUUUGUACCCUCAAGCUUUGCUUGGUGUUGGGCGUCUUGUCUCUAGCUUUGCUGGAGACUCGCCUUAAAGUAAUUGGCAGCCGGCCUACUGGUUUCGGAGCGCAGCACAAGCCGCACUCUCUAUCAGCAAAGGUCUAGCAUCCAUUAAGCCUUUUUUUCAACUUUUGACCUCGGAUCAGGUAGGGAUACCCGCUGAACUUAAGCAUAUCA
rnacentral:rRNA from 1 species